rnacentral:rRNA from 1 species
AGUAACGGCGAGUGAAGCGGCAACAGCUCAAAUUUGAAAUCUGGCCCCCCGCGGGCCCGAGUUGUACUUUGGAGAGGACGCUUCUGGCGCGGCGCCGUCCGAGUUCCCUGGAACGGGACGCCGGAGAGGGUGAGAGCCCCGUACGGGCGGCCGCCUAGCCUCUGCGAAGCUCCUUCGACGAGUCGAGUAGUUUGGGAAUGCUGCUCAAAAUGGGAGGUAAAUUUCUUCUAAAGCUAAAUACCGGCCAGAGACCGAUAGCGCACAAGUAGAGUGAUCGAAAGAUGAAAAGCACUUUGAAAAGAGGGUCAAACAGUACGUGAAAUUGUUGAAAGGGAAGCGCCUGUGGCCAGACUUGCGCCCCGCGGACCACCCGGCGCCUCGCGCGCCGGGGCACGCCAGCGGGGCGCAGGCCAGCAUCGGCUCUCUCGGGGGGACAAAGGCCGCGGGAACGUAGCGCCCUCGCGGCGUAUUAUAGCCCGCGGCGCCAUGCCCCCGGGGGGGCCGAGGACCGCGCUCCGGCAAGGAUGCUGGCGUAAUGGCCACCGGCGACCCGUCUUGAAACACGGACCAAGGAGUCAAGCAUUGGGGCGAGUGUCUGGGUGGCAAGCCCGCACGCGGAAUGAAAGUGAACGCAGGUGGGAGCUUCGGCGCACCACCGACCGAUCCUGAUGUCCUCGGAUGGAUUUGAGUAGGAGCCCCGCCGCUUGGACCCGAAAGAUGGUGAACUAUGCCUGUAUAGGGUGAAGCCAGAGGAAACUCUGGUGGAGGCCCGCAGCGGUUCUGACGUGCAAAUCGAUCGUC